GGCCGGGCACUCAAAGGAGACUGCCGGUGAUAAACCGGAGGAAGGUGGGGAUGACGUCAAGUCAUCAUGGCCCUUACGACCAGGGCUACACACGUGCUACAAUGGYGCAUACAAAGRGAAGCGACCUCGCGAGAGCAAGCGGACCUCAUAAAGUGSGUCGUAGUCCGGAUYGSAGUCUGCAACUCGACUSCRUGAAGUCGGAAUCGCUAGUAAUCGUGGAUCAGAAUGCCACGGUGAAUACGUUCCCGGGCCUUGUACACACCGCCCGUCAC
rnacentral:rRNA from 1 species